AGAGGUAAAGUUGUUGAGAGAGAGUUUAACAUGACAUAAAAGAAGAAUUGGUUAUGAAUCAUGGCAUUCGGAUCUAUAAGGAAGUAGAAUGAUUUAUCAUCCUCAGAUUGACCUUUUUGAUUCACUUUCUUCAAUGGGCUUUCUGGAAAGAAGUUACCUGGCACCUUACCUGACUCUCUCUCAAUUGAAGUGUUGGUUAAGGUAGAAUGGCCUCACCAAUCUUUCAGUGUCUCAUCCUUAUUUGAACAUUCGAUCGUACAGUAGAUUUGCAGUCUUAUAGUGUGUCAAUGACAGCACCACUUUUUCCAAAUCUUAUCCAGUGAUUCAGUAAUAAAGGCAUUUCUUGUGAUUCUGGAGCCUCAGCUAAGCUUUGAAACACACGUUCUGUGGCAGGGCAAGUUUUUUCAUGGUCUUCAGUGGCCAAAGAACAACAGUGAUUGUGAUAAGUUCCUAGAUGGAAUGAUAAUCUGUUGCAGGUAUUCAAUAAAGAAGAAUCCAAACAUAUUAGUUUUUAAGUUUUUGUUUAAAUUUAAUUAAUGAAUUAAUAAAUUAAUUAGUUUUCCAGAUGGCAUCUCACUCUAUUGCCCAGUCUGGAGUGCAGUGGUGCAGUUAUAGCUCACUGUAGCCUCAAACUCCUGGGCUCAAGCAUUUCUCCCACCUCAGCCUCCCAAGAAGCUGGGAGUACAGGGUUCACCACCCUGCCUGGCUAAUUUUUUAAAAUUUCUUUUUAGAGAUGGGGUCUCACUUUGUUGGCCAUGCUGGUAUUGAACUCCUGGCUUCAAGCAGUUCUCCCUCCUCAGACUCCCAAAGUACUAGGAUCACAGAUGUGAGCCACCACACCCAGCACCUAGCCU
rnacentral:lncRNA from 1 species